CGUACACUCCUGCGGGAGGCAGCAGUGGGGAAUAUUGGACAAUGGGCGCAAGCCUGAUCCAGCCAUGCCGCGUGAGUGAUGAAGGCCCUAGGGUUGUAAAGCUCUUUCACCGGAGAAGAUAAUGACGGUAUCCGGAGAAGAAGCCCCGGCUAACUUCGUGCCAGCAGCCGCGGUAAUACGAAGGGGGCUAGCGUUGUUCGGAAUUACUGGGCGUAAAGCGCACGUAGGCGGAUCGAUCAGUCAGGGGUGAAAUCCCAGGGCUCAACCCUGGAACUGCCUUUGAUACUGUCGAUCUGGAGUAUGGAAGAGGUGAGUGGAAUUCCGAGUGUAGGGGUGAAAUUCGUAGAUAUUCGGAGGAACACCAGUGGCGAAGGCGGCUCACUGGUCCAUUACUGACGCUGAGGUGCGAAAGCGUGGGGAGCAAACAGGAUUAGAAACCCCUGUAGUCCCAUGAU
rnacentral:rRNA from 1 species